AGAAACGGGACCGAGGGAAGCGGGGCGGGGCGAGGCGCCUCUUUUCAGAGCCCGGAUGGAACACCCACACUCGGAAGAGGUUUUGAAGGAGGAAGUGUCACACAUAUACGAAAUGCCUCCUGUGGACUGGCAAUUCUCUAUUCCCCUUGCCUCCCGUAUAAAGGGAAGAUCUUUGGAAUGUGUCUCCUACCGCACCAGGGCGGGUAAUGGUCCUUGAUGGUUGCUUGUCUCCUGUGCACCUUCUGGCUGCUCCCAGUCUGUAGAUGUUAAGAUCAUCAGACCCCCGCCGGUGAACAGCGUCUUUUGAAGAGGAACUUCAAUUCCCCUUCCCCUGGGCAAAGGCGAACAAACCCCUGACUAAAGUUACAUUAAAAAUGCUAGAAGUUGUAUCAUUUCCAACAAUCCCUCCAAUUUAAAUUGUGUUGCAAAGGCCCUAACUUUUGUCACAAAGUCACAACAACGGCAGAAGGAGGUGAUGUCUUGUAUUUUUAAAUCAGCCCUCACAGAAAAGAGUACUUUCAGUUUGAAGUACAGAGCAAACGAGUUAAAAAACACAACGGCCUGCAAAUUCCCAUCAGAAGUGCCUUUGGUAGUAUCUUGCAAACCUUUCAGCUCCUUUGCAACACAGGAAAAGCUGGCUUUGGGUAACUAAAGUAGUUAUCAGUGCUAACAUGCACUCUUUGCUUCUCCCUGACUAACACCUGAGGGAAACUUCUGGGAAUACGGUCGCAGUUCUAGCUGGUUUAUCAGCCCAGGUGAGUGAUACAGGAGAUAACAUUCAAGGUGUGGUUAGAUAAUACGGAAAAGACCACUGAGUGGCUCCCUGCCUUCAGAAGGAGCUAUUUCCCCAUUUCCAUCUCUGAUUCUCUGCUUCCAGCUGUGUGUCCCUGCUGCUUUCUUUAUGAUGUCUUAUGUGUUCUUGAUAAAGCAAGCUGACAUACUAACAGCAAAUACAAGUAAAUAUCCUGCUGUUGAAUCAGAUAAAUCUGUGGUCAAAGGAGCCAAAGCCAGUUCAAAGAAAUACUUGGCUCGGAAUGCACAGCUCCUGGCAAUGCCAUUGUUUCAACGGGGCAACAGAUGAGCUCCAGACAUUAUUUCGGUGAGGCACUGAUGGGCUCAGCUGCAUCACCAAAC